rnacentral:rRNA from 1 species
CGGCGGACGGCUGAGUAACACGUAGGAACGUACCCCAAACUGAGGAAUAAGCACCAGAAAUGGUGUCUAAUACCGCAUGUGCUCCAAGGAGUAAAGCUUCGGCGGUUUGGGAACGGCCUGCGUAUGAUUAGAUUGUUGGUGAGGUAAUGGCUCACCAAGUCGACGAUCAUUAGCUGGUCUGAGAGGAUGACCAGCCAGACUGGAACUGAGAACGGUCCAG